GGGGGAUCUCUCUUCCCCUCUUUCUUUCUUAACGAGUGAAAGAGGCGUACAAGGUCUGGAGAUUUCUGUGUGGCCGCUGCUCGGGGCAUGGACUGGACAGGAAGAGGCGGCGGCGGUGGCGGCGGCGCCCGUGGUGGUGGAGCCUUGCAUUGCAUAUCUCUAGCAUUCCGACACGAACUUGAUGGUUGGGUCUCCAACUUUCCAUUCUCGAGUUUCC
rnacentral:misc_RNA from 1 species